AGUCGAGCGGACAGAAGGGAGCUUGCUCCCGGAUGUUAGCGGCGGACGGGUGAGUAACACGUGGGUAACCUGCCUGUAAGACUGGGAUAACUCCGGGAAACCGGAGCUAAUACCGGAUAGUUCCUUGAACCGCAUGGUUCAAGGAUGAAAGACGGUUUCGGCUGUCACUUACAGAUGGACCCGCGGCGCAUUAGCUAGUUGGUGAGGUAACGGCUCACCAAGGCGACGAUGCGUAGCCGACCUGAGAGGGUGAUCGGCCACACUGGGACUGAGACACGGCCCAGACUCCUACGGGAGGCAGCAGUAGGGAAUCUUCCGCAAUGGACGAAAGUCUGACGGAGCAACGCCGCGUGAGUGAUGAAGGUUUUCGGAUCGUAAAGCUCUGUUGUUAGGGAAGAACAAGUGCAAGAGUAACUGCUUGCACCUUGACGGUACCUAACCAGAAAGCCACGGCUAACUACGUGCCAGCAGCCGCGGUAAUACGUAGGUGGCAAGCGUUGUCCGGAAUUAUUGGGCGUAAAGGGCUCGCAGGCGGUUUCUUAAGUCUGAUGUGAAAGCCCCCGGCUCAACCGGGGAGGGUCAUUGGAAACUGGGAAACUUGAAUGCAGAAAGAA
rnacentral:rRNA from 1 species